CCCUCUAUAAAAAGAGGACCAUCAUGCAGAGAUAUAGCAGUAACUCAUACAAAGCUAAAACAAUUUCUCCUUGUUAAGUUCAUCGUUCGUGCAUCCUUAGCCCAAUCAACCAUGUCGGACAAGUGCGGCGACUGCGACUGCGCUGACAAGAGCCAGUGCGUGAAGAAGGGAAACAGCUAUGGACUCGUCGUGGAGACUGAGAAGAGCUACAUCCACACUGUGGUCAUGGAUGCUCCAGCAGCUGAGCACGAUGGCAAGUGCAAGUGCGGUUCUAGCUGCACCUGCACAGACUGCACCUGUGGUCACUAAGCCAAGCCUCCCACCGAUCGAUACAUGGUAUACAUGUGGAAUCGUGCAUGUGUCGACUCUCGUCAAUAAUGUAUUAGCGUUGAAUAAUUGUGCUGUCCUCUGUUAAAAGUACUUUAAAAUGUGCUGCUUGUUUGUUUAGUGUCGAUCGUUGUGUCUCUCGAUCUGUCAUGUUUCUGCAUCUUUCAUAGUCAUGUAAUAUGGCCAUCUCUCAUGUGGCCUUGUGUGAUUAAAUUAAAUGGACUUCUAAUAUAUUUACGCUA